UCCCCCCACACCCCCCCAAAGCCAGGCCUAUAGAUGUGGGGGCACAAAGGAUCUGGGGGCACCAGUAAGGAAUCGCUCAUCUUUCCAGGUUCACCUACUCCUUCUGAAUCUCCUGCCAGAUUCCCAGACUCCCUCUUACCCCCACCACUCCCUUCAAUUUUCCUCAGCACCGAUGGGGCAAACCCGAGGGACUGGAGGACACUGGGAGUCCCUGUUGGGGAGGGGGGGAAACCCCAGCUUUAGCUGGCACUUCUGCAUCCGCUCUGGUGCUUAGAGCUUGCCUCCGACCCCAAAAGAUUACACUAGGCACAGGAGAGCCCCCUAAGGGGGAGGGGCACCUUUACUCCAUCACCUCAGACCUGCACAGCUGCGACCACAACCAAGCUAGCACCACCGCGGGAAGGACAGACAGACAGACGGACAGGUUAGCGUCAUCCCCUCCCCUUGCUCUGCGCCUCCCUCUCAGUGAUUUAAAUUCCCUCCGGUUCAAUCCACACCGUCAAGUUCGGAUUAAAUUUAAAACAGGCUUUUCUCCUGGUCCGCAGCCGCCGCAGGCAGGGAGCCCGCUCCCCGGCUCGUCAGCACCCGCCCGCGCGGAGGAGGCCGUGCUCCAUUUGCUUUCAUUUUCCUUCUCCCCCUGAAAUGGGCUCGUUUCACCUCUCCGCUGCCCUCUCCCCCUCCCCGCCCCCUCCCCGGUUCCCCUCUUCUUUCCCCCCUUCUCGUUCCUGGUCCCUCUUUGUUGGGAAAAACACACCCACACACAACUCCUCCUGGCUAAGGCCUGCGCUGGAAGCAGAAACUGAAUUCUCCUGGCCCGCCGCGAGGAGACCGCGUCCUGCCCCCACCCCAGGGCGUUGGGCAGAGACCCGGAAGACUCGGUCCCUCUGGCUUGGUCCAAUCCCGCCUCGGGAAGCGCCUUCGUUACCUGCUCCUCGGCUCCCCACGGCCACAGAUGCAGGGCAGCCGCCUCCCGCCGGGGGAGGGAAGCCCCGGCCACCGCAGCCGCCGCCGCUGCCCGCCCUCCUUCCCUCCCUCCCUCUUUCUCGCCCUCCCUCCCUCUCUCCCUCCCUCGCGCGCUGCCGCUCGCGGGGCCCUCCCGCGGGCAACCUGUUCUGGACCAAAUCCAGGUAUCUCCGAAAGAGAGAGAGAGAGAGAGACAGAAGGACCUCUUACGUGGAAAAGAAAGAAAGACCCUUAACCGCGUUUAUUUUCCAAGCUCUGACCACUGGCCGGCCUCUGUUCAGACGCCCUGGACACGGCCCUGUAGCAGCAGAGGUGUGCGGGGCCUGCUGCCUCGCCCAUGCUGACCGCCGCGCCCCUCGCACAGCGCGCUCCACACUCUGGGCCGCCGCCCCCCGGCAGCCCAAACACCAAACAGACCUCAAGGUCCUUCCUACAGACUCAACAUCCGGUCGCCCGCCUCGAGGCUGGCCUCCGCCCGCCCCGGAGCCCGCUCUGCUCCGUCUGCGGCCAAAGUCCACACACAAUCCACCUUGCCCGUGCUCUCGCGCCGGGCCCGGACGCCCCUCCUGACCGAGGCGCCCGCCGGGCCACACUCGGCCCACGGUCCUGCCCGGGACUGCAAACCUCGUCCCCUGCACGGGACCCACACAAAGCCCAGUGCCCUGACGCUCCCACCCGCAGCCCCCAGUCCCCAGCCGCUGCUGCCCCUUCACCUGUUCCCGAGAAAGGCUGCGUCUCCGAGCCGGGGCAAAGCCGUGGGCCUGGGCGGAGGGUGCCGGGGGAACCGGGGAGCCGAGGUCCCAGGGAGGUUACAGAAGAUCCGCCGGGCUAAGCCGGAGCCCCCGCAGCCGGCGAGAUUAUCUCAGAGACCAAAGCUCUCCUUGGCGAGCUCUUGCCUUUUCCUCCGUCUCCCGCAAGUCUUAAACACUCACACGCCGAGAGUUCAGCUCUAUAAAUCCUGCUCCUCUUUCCCAUAUCAUAAUUAAAAAAAACCAGUAGGGGAGGUUUUAACUUUUAUUGCGAUUUCUGGAGUUGGGCUGCGGAGCAUAUAUUAAGUUUACGCUUAUGCGCUCUCGGCGGGGAGGGUCCUUUAAGAAAUAAAAAUCCAUCUUAAUAUCCGCA